UGGGGAAUUUGGACAAUGGGCGAAAGCCUGAUCCAGCAAUGCCGCGUGUGUGAAGAAGGCCUUCGGGUUGUAAAGCACUUUUGUCCGGAAAGAAAUCCUUGGCUCUAAUACAGUCGGGGGAUGACGGUACCGGAAGAAUAAGCACCGGCUAACUACGUGCCAGCAGCCGCGGUAAUACGUAGGGUGCAAGCGUUAAUCGGAAUUACUGGGCGUAAAGCGUGCGCAGGCGGUUUGCUAAGACCGAUGUGAAAUCCCCGGGCUCAACCUGGGAACUGCAUUGGUGACUGGCAGGCUAGAGUAUGGCAGAGGGGGGUAGAAUUCCACGUGUAGCAGUGAAAUGCGUAGAGAUGUGGAGGAAUACCGAUGGCGAAGGCAGCCCCCUGGGCCAAUACUGACGCUCAUGCACGAAAGCGUGGGGAGCAAAACAGGAUUAGAUACCCCUGGUAGUCCACGCCCUAAAACGAUGUCAACUAGUUGUUGGGGAUUCAUUUCCUUAGUAACGUAGCUAACGCGUGAAGUUGACCGCCUGGGGGAGUACGGUCGCAAGAUUAAAACUUAAAUGAAUUGACGGGGUCAUAGCUGUUU
rnacentral:rRNA from 1 species